AGUGGUGUGUCUAGGGGUUAGAGCUUGGGCCUAGAAGUCCAAAGGACCUGGGUUCAAAUCCCGGCUCCACCA
rnacentral:tRNA from 1 species